CCAGAUGUGGCCUGGGCGACCCAGCAAACAGCCUCCUCAAGGAGCUGCUGGCUUGUCAAGGCCAGUGAGACCCACCGUCAACAAAACAGGGAGGCAGUGCCCACCACCCAACUCUGGUGUGACGCCAAGCCAGACGGACAGAGCCUGCAGGACCCCCUCUCUGUCACACUCACACUGAAGUUCUCUGCACAGCCACUGCCACCUCCUGCAUGGGAAGGUCUCCUGCCUCCUUGCUUGCCUUUCCUCCCAGAACUAACCCUCCCCCAUGCAGGCUUCCUCUGUUCUCACUUGUCGGUGCCGGAAGGAAGGAGGGAAGCUGUACAGCCACUCUGGACGCUCCCACCUCCGGCUCCAUCGCACAGCCUCACUCUAAGCCUCCUUCCUGCAGGAGAACCACUCCCCUUGAAGACCCUGGAGGACUUCAGUGUCCGCACUCUCUAUGACAAGCUCGAGGACCAGAGCCUACACGUGGCCGCCCAGCUGAGCAAACACAGGAGCGAGGCACUGGCCUUCUAUAGGGGUGCCAGCCAGCAGCUCCAGGGGCUCAAGGACUUUCUCCAACACCUCAGCACAACUGAGUGGCAAGCUCUGGACAAGGGUGGAGACCCAGAGAUGGAGGCCACAGCUGCCACCAGGACAGACACUGAGCAGAGUGUGGAAUCAUGGGGCCACCACACUGCAAGUCUACCUAGGGAGCCCUGGCAGCAUCCUCUAGGCCGCACCCCCAGUGUCACACCCCUGGGCUUUCAGCUGGAACUUGACAGAGUGAUUGUGGCACUGGCAUCAGCACUUUCUCACGCACACAGGCAACCAGCUGGGGCCAACAGAAAGCUCUCAGCAGGACCUGGGACCUGGACAGCUUCCCCAGUGUGCUGCCAAAGGAGGAGGCACCGAGAGCCCAGGCUCUAGGUUGUGGAUCAUUGGGGCUGGACACAGGCAUGGAGCCUUUCCUGAGAUGCAGAGGAAGAUAUGGCAGGUGGAAAACACUUUGGAUGAACUGAAUGAGGAGUUCUUCCAGCUCACUGCUCAAGCCCUAGAACUUCAGAAGGAAAAGGACAAACCAGGUCAACUUCCCCCAAGUGAAGGCAAUACAUUUGUGGUAAGCCCAGCAGACUACCACCUCAGCUCCUGAGAUGUCCACAGAUAGCUGGGUCUCACGUGUGGGGCCCACAGAGUCACAGGACCCCAUAGAAAGGGUUGGGACCAGAAAGUCCACCAACCAAAGUUUGGUUUUGCCUGUUUGGUUUAGCACAUACUUCUAGAGACAGGGAGGACCUCUCAAUCAGCUUGGGCUUGCAGGUCUCUAAGUAAAUUGAUGGCUCGGAAAGACUGAGGAAGAGUAUGAAAAGGGAGCAAUAAAAAUAGCUGUUUAGAUGUAGCUAACUAGUAG
rnacentral:lncRNA from 1 species